UACGAAGGGAGCUAGCGUUGUUCGGAAUCACUGGGCGUAAAGCGCACGUAGGCGGAUGUGUCAGUCAGGGGUGAAAUCCCGGAGCUCAACUUCGGAACUGCCUUUGAUACAGCACGUCUUGAGUCCGAUAGAGGUGGGUGGAAUUCCUAGUGUAGAGGUGAAAUUCGUAGAUAUUAGGAAGAACACCGGUGGCGAAGGCGGGUCUCUGGGCCGAUACUGACGCUGAGGCGCGAAAGCGUGGGUAGCAAACAGG
rnacentral:rRNA from 1 species